ACUGCCCUCCAGCCUGGGCGAGAGAGUGAGACUCUGUCUCAAAAAAAUAAAAAUGUGUAUCUCUGUCAUUGGGAUUCCUAUAAGCUUGUGCCUAGACAGGAUAGUUAUUUUAUCUUUAAGACCCUGUUAAAGCCUGCCUGAGGUCUUAUCUGCAUUCCCCUGUGGGCUGACUCAGCACCUGGUUGCCUUGUAUUCUCCUGAUUAUGAAUCUUUCAACCUCUAGGACAUGGACCAUUAACGUUUAGUAUACUUGGCUGUAGCUACUUUAAGCUUAGAUAUCUGCCUUCGAAUAUUCUACCUUUUUUAAAAUAAAAUAUAAAUGUCUAGUGAUUCUUUCGUUGUUGUUUUUAUUUUUUGGAGACACGGUCUUGCUGUGCCACCCAGACUCGAGUGCAAUGGUGUGGUCACAGCUCACUGCAGCCUUGACCUUCUGGGCUCAAGUGAUCCUCCCACCUCAGCCUCCUGAGUAGCUGGGACUGCAGGCGUGCACCACCAUCCUUGGAUAAUUUUUUAUUUUUUAGAGAAAUGAGGUCUCCCUGUGUUGCCCAGUCUGGUCAGGCUCAAGCAAUCCUCCCAUGUCAGCUUCCCAAAGUGCUGGAUUACAAGCAUAAGCCACCAUGCCUGGCUGUAUCCUGCUUUCUGUUAUAAUAGAGUGGAUUUUGUCAUCUUGAUAGCCCACACAACGUUGGUCCGUUUCUUUGAUGAUAUUAUGCUAAUUGGACCUGACAAGCAGAAAAUAAUAAACAUCCUACAAGACUUAAUAAAACACAUGCAUGACGGGAUGGGAAGGAAAUCUUGAAUAAAAAUUCAUGAUUGACCACAUUCGUAAGGUUUUUAGGGUCUGAUUG
ensembl:lncRNA novel transcript